GAGCAAUGAUGAAAUGCUUUUAUCACUGAUCUUUAUUCCUAUGAGACUUUCUGCACUUGAUCUGAACUCU